CCUCACUCCUUCUGUUUGGCAGAGUGUGAGGGUCGUGGCGGGAUGCGAAUCCGUCACUCAUGGUGCACCUCGGUGUCGGACAAACAGAAGAAGUGAGGAAUAUUUAACAGCAGCGGUCACACUGAUGAUGAG